rnacentral:rRNA from 1 species
CAGCGCCACAAGUGGCAACCACUAUUAUUUGGCCUAAAGCGUCCGUAGCUGGUUUGGUAAAUUUUCUGUGAAAUUGUUAGGCUAAACUUAACUUCGAGCAGAAAACACUGCCAGACUCGAGACCAGAGGGGGUAAGAGGUAUUCUUAGGGGAGCGGUAAAAUGCUAUAAUCCUAAGAAGACCACCUGUGGCGAAGGCGUCUUACCAAUAUGGUUCUGACAGUGAGGGACGAAAGCUAGGGGAGCAAACCGGAUUAGAUACCCGAGUAGUCC